rnacentral:rRNA from 1 species
CAGCCGCCGCGGUAAUACGAAGGGUGCAAGCGUUAAUCGGAAUUACUGGGCGUAAAGCGUGCGUAGGCGGUGAGUUAAGUCUGCUGUGAAAUCCCCGGGCUCAACCUGGGAAUGGCAAUGGAUACUGGCAAGCUAGAGUGUGUCAGAGGAUGGUGGAAUUCCCGGUGUAGCGGUGAAAUGCGUAGAGAUCGGGAGGAACAUCAGUGGCGAAGGCGACUAUCUGGGCCAACACUGACACCGAGGCACGAAAGCGUGGGGAGCAAACAGGAUUAGAUACCCCCGUAGUCCCUGUCUCUUAUAC